rnacentral:misc_RNA from 1 species
UGGUUCUGGCAUCGAUGAAGAACGCAGCGAAAUGCGAUAAGUAGUGUGAAUUGCAGAAUUCAGUGAAUCAUCGAAUCUUUGAACGCACAUUGCGCCCCUCCUCUGGGGGGGCAUGCCUGUUCGAGCGUCAUUUCGACCCUCAAGCCUCGCUUGGUGUUGGGCGCCUGUCCCGCUUCCCGCGGCGACUCACCCUAAAACGAUCGGCGCCGGCGGCCAUGCCGGGAGCGCAGCAGACCGCUGCUCCCGCGUGGCCGGCGGCCACCGCAAGCAGAAACACAGUCCGACCUCGGAUCAGGCAGGGAUACCCGCUGA